rnacentral:rRNA from 1 species
GACGAACGCUGGCGGCGUGCUUAACACAUGCAAGUCGAACGGAAAGGCCCUGCUUUUGUGGGGUGCUCGAGUGGCGAAAGGGUGAGUAACACGUGAGUGACCUGCCCUUGACUUUGGGAUAACUUCAGGAAAAUGGGUCUAAUACCGGAUAGGAGCACCUGCUGCAUGGUGGGGGUUGGAAAGAUUCGGCGGUUGGGGAUGGACUCGCGGCUUAUCAGCGUGUUGGUGGGGUAGUGGCUUACCAAGGCUUUGACGGGUAGCCGGCCUGGGAGGGUGACCGGCCACAUUGGGACUGAGAUACGGCCCAGACUCCUACGGGAGGCAGCAGUGGGGAAUAUUGCACAAUGGGCGGAAGCCUGAUGCAGCAACGCCGCGUGCGGGAUGACGGUCUUCGGGUUGUAAACCGCUUUCGCCUGUGACGAAGCGUGAGUGACGGUAAUGGGUAAAGAAGCACCGGCUAACUACGUG